CUAGAAAACUGGCAGCUACCCCGCCGUUUUAAGUUUUAAAAAACGGCAGGGGAGGAAAGUCCGGACAGCAGGAGACAGGGUGGGCACCGAAAGGUGUCACUCCAUGCGCCUGGUCGUAUGGGGCUAGAUAGGGCCACAGAGACGACGACUCACCCUAGACCCUAAAGGGUCCGGGGAAGAGAGUGAAAAGAGGCAACCCUCCCCGCUGCAACCUCCGAUUGGCGCGUUAUGAGGAUGUCUUCCCCAGUGCCGAGGUUCGAGGGCAUAGAUAGAUGGCUGCUAAAACAGAAUCCGGCUUACGGGUUUUCUAGGAAC
rnacentral:RNase_P_RNA from 2 species